GAACAGUUAAAGAUUUAGUCUAAUUCACAUGAACUAAAUGUAGGUUAACUAAAUCCAAGCUGGCUGGAUUUUACUGGACCAAAUUUUAUUAUUUUGUUUUUAAUACAAUAAAAAUUAUUCGGUUGAUGUUUUUAAGUUGGUAAAGUUUGGCAUUUUAAUUUGAGACAAGCCUUGUGUGAUCAAACAUGGAUGGAGGACUCCCUGCACGGACUGGAGCUGCGCAUGCUCACCUUCAUUACCUCAUGUUAUGUAGUCCAUAUUUUUAUUACCAAGCUUUCUACUUUAGACAUUUUUUAUGCUGAUGGGUGUCAAUGAGGUCAACAAGGUGAAUGAGCACCAGGUUGUGCAGAUGUGUCAUACAGAUCUAUGCAACAUGCAUCUACAUCAUUAAAAACAUCCGGUCAGCAUGAUGUAAACACUCCUCACCCGUUAAGAGACGGAGUCCACUGAGGCGUCCCGUGUAUCAGCAGAGCUUUCAGGGCAGCACCUGCAUCCCACAGAUGCAUGAACCCAGUGAGACAGAAGGUCAGAACAGUGAACUUUGCCAGGACUGAACAUCUUCUGACUGGUUGGAUGCAUUACUCUGCUGGGCCCGUUUUCACACCUGGUUUGUUUCUAGAACAUUUCUUUUAUAAGUUGUAUAAAAUAUACAAUAAAAAAUAAUUUAACAGCCAUUUAUUAGUAUUUAUUUUCUUUGGGAAAUAAAUGAGUUUUUAGUUUAGCCUUGAAGAUAUUUAUGGAAACUGAGUCUCUGAGAUGGGAAACUCUUCCAAAGUUCGGAGCUGCUUUCU